GCUGAUGUCAUCUGUUAUGUUUAGAUGGUUGUUUUGCAUGAGGACUGAAAAACUCGCUCACAUCCGUCUCGAGGGCUCAAGGACGUCUGCAGGGGCCCUCUAGUUCCGUGAGCAGGAACCAUGUUAUGAUCAUUGUCGUGAUCUUCACAAUGCUUGUCUCAGGUCCUGCACAUCUGAGGGGCUCAAGAAAUGGCAUA